rnacentral:rRNA from 1 species
UGGGGAAUCUUGCGCAAUGGGCGAAAGCCUGACGCAGCGACGCCGCGUGGGGGAUGACGGGUUUCGGCUUGUAAACCCCUGUUGCCCGGGACGAACUUCUCCUUUCGAGGAGAUUGACGGUACCGGGUGAGGAAGCACCGGCUAACUCUGUGCCAGCAGCCGCGGUAAUACAGAGGGUGCGAGCGUUGUCCGGAAUCACUGGGCGUAAAGGGCGCGUAGGUGGCGCGACAAGUCGGUGGUGAAAGUUCGACGCUCAACGUCGAAUCGGCCACCGAUACUGUCGGGCUCGAGCACUGUAGAGGCUAAUGGAAUUCCGGGUGUAGCGGUGGAAUGCGUAGAGAUCCGGAAGAACACCGGUGGCGAAGGCGGUUAGCUGGGCAGUUGCUGACACUGAGGCGCGACAGCGUGGGGGAGCAAACAGGAUUAGAUACCC